rnacentral:rRNA from 1 species
GUGGGGAAUCUUCCGCAAUGGACGAAAGUCUGACGGAGCGACGCCGCGUGAGUGAAGAAGGCCUUCGGGUCGUAAAGCUCUGUCAUCAGGGACGAACGGCCGGUGGAGUGGAAAGCCACCGGAUUGACGGUACCUGAGAAGGAAGCCACGGCUAACUACGUGCCAGCAGCCGCGGUAAUACGUAGGUGGCAAGCGUUGUCCGGAAUUAUUGGGCGUAAAGCGCGCGCAGGUGGGAUCUUAAGUCCAUUUUGAAAGUUCGGAGCUCAACUCCGUGAUGGGAUGGAAACUGGGAUUCUUGAGUACCGGAGAGGAAAGCGGAAUUCCCCGUGUAGCGGUGAAAUGCGUAGAUAUGGGGAGGAACACCAGUGGCGAAGGCGGCUUUCUGGACGGUGUCUGACACUGAGGCGCGAAAGCUAGGGGAGCGAACGGGAUUAGAAACCCUUGUAGUCC